GCCCAUUUGUGCCGAGAAAGAUCCAAGAGGACGCCUCGAAAUUGUGUGGCUGUAAUUAUCGGCAGCGUGCAAAUAAUGACUUUGGACUCGGCUGGUUUUGUGCAGUAAUUAACAGGUGGCUAGCUUUCACUGCAGCAUUUCGCAACAGCUACUGAAGGAAAUGCUGGCAUCUUGGUAGCAUAUUAAAUAUUGAAACAAAGGCUGUGCAAAGGCCUUCGGCCCUGACCCUACCAUUAGCCAAUAUGUGCCAGCUUCGGUACGCAAUGGUAAUGAUGCUAUUUAGUGCACGCAUUAAGGUUUUGCAGGCCAUUAGGAGUCAGUUUCUUUUCAUUCAGGUGUUGAAUCCGUUUUUCCUGAGCUGUGAGGAGAUCUUUGUCAAGUUCUGAGACUUCAUUCCCGGGGGUCCCAUACAUAGGAGGGAUGGAGCUCAGGUCAUCAGGUUUGCCUUGCAGACGGUCUUUCCCCAUUAGUCCACUCCAUGGUGUCAGCCCUGAUAUUUCAAAGACAGAAACCAGCUCUUCUCUGAAGCCUGUGGGAGAUCCACCCAGGGCUCACAAUCCUUUCCCCACAGUUCUACUAGGACACCACAUUCUACACACGCACUUCAGGCCUGGCAUCAUCCAUCUUCAAAGAGGUCCUUCAACACCUUUCAAAUGGCACCGUAGUCUAAGCAGGACCACCAUCCACAGGCGCAAUGAGAAAACCUGAUCUACUGUGACAAAUCUGAGUGGCGCUGCCCUACUGCCUUCAAGAGAGACUGAGAAGGCAAUUGAAUCGACCUCUGAAGUAAUCCUGCCUCCCGCUGGAAGACCAGGCAGCACCUUCAUCCUGGGUACUGAGAAUGCUGUGUGGGUUGCUGCAAUAAAUCUUUUUGCCACCCUUCCAUGAAAGCCUGUCACUUCUCUGCCCUUUGUUUGAUGGAUGCCCCUGGCUCCCAAUGCUAUAAAUGUUGAGUAGAUUCUAAUUGAUUAUGUGAGGCCAAGAGCUUUCGUAAAGGAGACUCAUGGGGUGAGGUUCUUGAGUGAGCUCUAAUUGUCAAGUGCAUUUUAAAACAGAAUUCAGGGAAUAAUGAAUAUUCACCAACAUUUUAAAUAAUUUAAUAUGAAGUUAUAUUGGUGCAAUAACUAGUUUUAUACUGUGUUUGCUUUUUAUUAUCAUUUUAAUUGACAAAUUGUAUACAUUUUUGUGGUAUACAGCAUGGUUUUCUGAGAUCUCUGUCUUUCUCUGUCUCUCUGUCUCUCUCUCUCACACACACACACAUACACACACACAUUGUGAAAUAACUGUAUAAUCAAAUUAAGCUAAGCAGCAAGGACAUUUUCUCAUGUGUGUGUAUUGCUAGCUACAGCCAUGUCAUUGUAUAACAGGCCUCUUGAACUUGUUCUUUCUGCCUGAUUCAAAUCUCUGUCCUUUGGUCAGCCUCUCCCCAUCUGACCUCCUCUAACCCUCUAAUCCUUGGUUGCCAUCAUGCUACUCACUACUUCUGUGAGUUUGACUUACAUGAAUGUUACACAAAAAUAGGAUCAUGAAUAUUUGUCUGUCUAUGACUGGCUAAUUUUACUUAAGGCACUGUCCACAGAUUCAUGGACAUGGUCACAUACAUGCACACAAAUU